rnacentral:rRNA from 1 species
UACGAAGGGGGCUAGCGUUGCUCGGAAUUACUGGGCGUAAAGCGCACGUAGGCGGCUUCUUAAGUCGGUGGUGAAAUCCUGGAGCUCAACUCCAGAACUGCCUCGAUACUGGGAGCUCGAGUCCGGGAGAGGUGAGUGGAACUGCGAGUGUAGAGGUGAAAUUCGUAGAUAUUCGCAAGAACACCAGUGGCGAAGGCGGACUCGCUGGCCCGGUACGU